GUGAAACUGCGAAUGGCUCAUUAAAUCAGUUAUAGUUUAUUUGAUAAUACCUUACUACUUGGAUAACCGUGGUAAUUCUAGAGCUAAUACAUGCAUUACAAGCCCCGACUUCUGGAAGGGGUGUAUUUAUUAGAUAAAAAACCAAUUGGUGAUUCAUGAUAACUUUUCGAAUCGCAUGGCUUUACGCCGGCGAUGGUUCAUUCAAAUUUCUGCCCUAUCAACUGUCGAUGGUAGGAUAGAGGCCUACCAUGGUUUUAACGGGUAACGGCGAAUUAGGGUUCGAUUCCGGAGAGGGAGCCUGAGAAACGGCUACCACAUCUAAGGAAGGCAGCAGGCGCGCAAAUUACCCAAUCCUGAUUCAGGGAGGUAGUGACAAUAAAUAACAAUCCAGGGCUUUUGUCUUGGAAUUGGAAUGAGAACAAUUUAAAUCCCUUAACGAGGAACAAUUGGAGGGCAAGUCUGGUGCCAGCAGCCGCGGUAAUUCCAGCUCCAAUAGCGUAUAUUAAAGUUGUUGCAGUUAAAUAGCUCGUAGUUGAAUUUUCUUUUACUUUGAAAAAAUUAGAGUGUUUAAAGCGGGCAUGAUUUGCUUGAAUACAUUAGCAUGGAAUAAUAGAAUAGGACUUUGGUUCUAUUUUGUUGGUUUCUAGGACCAAAGUAAUGAUUAAUAGGGAUAGUUGGGGGCAUUAGUAUUUAAUUGUCAGAGGUGAAAUUCUUGGAUUUAUGAAAGACUAACUUCUGCGAAAGCAUUUGCCAAGGAUGUUUUCAUUAAUCAAGAACGAAAGUCAGGGGAUCGAAGACGAUCAGAUACCGUCGUAGUCUUGACCAUAAACUAUGCCGACUAGGGAUCGGACGGGGCGAGUGAAGCGGGAAAAGCUCAAAUUUGAAAUCUCUCGGGUUCCCCGAGCGAAUUGUAGUUUCAAGAGGCGCUUUCGGGGGCAGCCUUGGACCAAGUCCGCUGGAACGCGGCACCACAGAGGGUGAGAGUCCCGUUGGUCCAGGCGUCUGCUCCUAUGUGAUGCGUUUUCAACGAGUCGCGUAGUUUGGGAAUGCUGCGCAAAUGGGUGGUAAAUACCAUCUAAAGCUAAAUAUUGGCGAGAGACCGAUAGCGAACAAGUACCGUGAGGGAAAGAUGAAAAGAACUUUGAAAAGAGAGUUAAACAGUACGUGAAAUUGUCAAAAGGGAAACGCUUGAAACCAGUAUUCCGUGCCGCCAAAUCAGCCGCAAAGGUGCAACGGGGGUCAGCAUCAGUUUGGGCUCGGGUAUAGCCGUCCGACCAUGCCCGGGACCAGACUGAGGACUGCAGCGCUUGGGAUGCUGACGAAAUGGUUUUAAACGACCCGUCUUGAAACACGGACCAAGGAGUCCAACACACACGCGAGUCUUUGGGUGGCAAACCCGAGGGCGCAAUGAAAGUAAAUGCAGGUGUGAUGCCGUCAAAAGCUGCAACAUCGACCGGACUGGACGUUUUACUAAAAGUUCUGAGUAGGAGCGUGUUUGUUGGGACCCGAAAGAUGGUGAACUAUGCCUGAAUAGGGUGAAGUCAGAGGAAACUCUGAUGGAAGCUCGUAGCGGUUCUGACGUGCAAAUCGAUCGUCAAAUUUGGGUAUAGGGGCGAAAGACUAAUCGAACCAUCUAG
rnacentral:rRNA from 1 species